UUUUGGGAACAUGUCUUAACUCUUCUUGCAGUGUAUCCUGUCAAUUCUGUUUAAAGUGUAUAUUUAAAUUGUAUAUUUCCUUAUUAUAUAUGGCAUAAGCUAUGAAAACUUCAGAGUAUCCAUCAGAAGUUUUUAUUUUCACAAAUUCAAGAAUGUCCUGUCCUUCUUGACUUUCAGCUCCUGGCUGCAGAAAUACAUACAUGGUUUUCUCCAGUUCUUCGCAUUCAUCCCCAGAGACCUAUACUAUUAGUCAAACGUCUGGACAUUCUUCAUGUAUUUGAUAGAAAGUGUUUUUAGCAUUAUUCCAGAAGUUGGGAGACACCUUCUGCAAAAAAUACUUACAGUGGCAGAUAAAGAACAGUCUUGAGUCAUCUUUACAAAAGAAUUUCAAAAUGGGCGGCCACUGGACCCUCACCAUGUGAGCUACAAGGCUCUCCAGCACAAAACAGCAGGUAUGAAGUAACACCAUGAUGGUGGUGUGCCGGCAGUCCAGGGUUUAGAAUGAGCGACAGGUCUCCACACCCUGAACUGAACCAUCAGUGACGCUUCCUUCUGUGGCGUGCCUUUGUGUUGUUGAACCAGCCAUUUCUCUUUCUGUGCCUCCAUGAACACACCUCACAGGUAGGUCCACAUUUCAUAACUUCAUAACACUUUUCGAAUUUGACAUUCAUGGUUUUGGUUUUGACCAUGAACAAUUAAAUGAGAAUAUUUUUGGAGCUUGUCAAAAGAUCACAGAAAUUUACAGAUGAUACAUAUACCAAACUGAAUCGAUUGGACAUUAUUUAGAAAGGCACAUGGGUACCUGUGUAUAUAAAGUACAACAAUUUACACUGUCAGGACAAAAAUCAAGCCAUGAAGUCCAAGGAACUCUCUUAAGUUCUCCAAACAUAGAUGAGGGCAUGAGGUACAGUGGAUCAGUGGCUCUAAACAAGUUUUGUAAAUAAAUAAUCGCCACACUUGUGGAUUAAAGAGGUGGCGCGGUAGUGUGGCUGCGAUACGGGCGUGGGUGUUUCCGCACUGAGGUGCACAGGUGCGGGAUCGCCCAUGUCCGAGAUGCUGAUCGCCACACCUGUGUCAUGUCCCCAUUAUUAGUAGGGAGGGAAGAAGAAAGAAAAGAGAUGGAUGAGAAGGAUGAGAGGCAGGAAGCUGUAAGAGCAGGUCUGGGAGUGAGUGAGCGAGCGAGUGGGCUCAUUGGUUAAGGCAGUCAUUUCCAGGAAAGCCCCUGGAAUGAGUGUUUGGCCGACAUUCGGGGGCUGAAGGAAGUGGUCGCUCCAGCUGAUCAGUUUCUAGGAGUUGGAGUGACCGGCAGUGUGGAGGACUCGCUGCGAAAGACAGUAUGAGUCGAGGAGGAUUGGGAGGGUGAGCCUCAGUGUCAGUGCCCUGGCCGUUGGGGAACCAAGUCUCGGUCUGGAGGUCAGCUGCACCUGCAGGUUGGUAAAAAUACAUUUAUACAUACACACACACAAACACACAAACACUACCAGUCAAAGGUUUGGACACAGAGAAAACCAUUUUGAGAACAGAACUGAGCUUUAGGAAUGCCAGUGUCUCACAACCCAUGUGAAUAGAGUAGCAUGUUUCAGCUCUGCUAACUCGAUUACUAAGGUUUCUCUAAUAACCAAAUAGCAUUUAUACACGACUGAUUAAAGUGAAGGGAAUUGACGACUCAGACACUAAAGGAAUGGCUGCUGAAAAUGGGGCACUGCAGCCCAAUGUGAAUAGUAAAUUAAAAAUCAGUUAUCUCUAGCAGUAACAACCUUUAGCAACACUAGGAAUGACUCAUUUGUAUUUUUAAAUUAAUGAAAUGGUAACUUAAUUAAAAAAAAAAAAAUUAAAUUCUAUGAAAAACAA